UACGGAGGGGGCAAGCGUUGUCCGGAUUUAUUGGGCGUAAAGAGCGUGUAGGCGGCCUGGUAGGUCUGCUGUGAAAACUCGAGGCUCAACCUCGAGAUGUCGGCGGAAACCAUCUGGCUAGAGUCCGGAAGAGGAGAGUGGAAUUCCUGGUGUAGCGGUGAAAUGCGCAGAUAUCAGGAAGAACACCAAUGGCGAAGGCAGCUCUCUGGGACGGUACUGACGCUGAGACGCGAAAGCGUGGGGAGCGAACAGG
rnacentral:rRNA from 1 species